GACGAACGCUGGCGGCGUGCUUAAAACAUGCAAGUCGAACGGACUUCUCAUGAAGCUUGCGAUUGAGAAGUUAGUGGCGGACGGGUGAGUAACGCGUGGGCAACCUGCCCCUGAGCCCGGGAUAACAGUUCGAAAGGACUGCUAAGACCGGAUAUACUUGCGGGGAAGCAUUUCACUGCAAGGAAAGGGAACGCUCAGGGAUGGGCCCGCGUCCCAUUAGCUAGUUGGUGAGGUAACGGCCCACCAAGGCGACGAUGGGUAGCCGGCCUGAGAGGGUGAACGGCCACACUGGGACUGAGACACGGCCCAGACUCCUACGGGAGCAGCAGUUGGGAAUCUUCGGCAAUGGGCGCAAGCCUGACCGAGCAACGCCGCGUGAGUGAUGAAGGUUUUCGGAUUGUAAAGCUCUGUCUUCCGGGACGAUAAUGACGGUACCGGAGGAGGAAGCCACGGCUAACUACGUG
rnacentral:rRNA from 1 species